AGAGUUUGAUCCUGGCUCAGAAUCAACGCUGGCGGCGUGCCUAACACAUGCAAGUCGAACGAGAAAGUCCGCAAGGAUGAGUAAAGUGGCGCACGGGUGAGUAACACGUAGCUAACCUACCUUCGAGCGGGGGAUAACCUGGGGAAACUCGGGCUAAUACCGCAUACCAUCCUGAUAGCAUAAGCUGAUGGGAUCAAAGGCCCGCAAGGGCCACUCGAAGAGGGGGCUGCGGCCGAUUAGCUAGUUGGUGAGGUAAUGGCCCACCAAGGCGAUGAUCGGUAGCCGGCCUGAGAGGGCGCACGGCCACACUGGCACUGAAACACGGGCCAGACUCCUACGGGAGGCAGCAGUGGGGAAUUUUGCACAAUGCCCGAAAGGGUGAUGCAGCAACGCCGCGUGAGGGAUGAAGGUCUUCGGAUCGUAAACCUCUUUCGACCGGGAAAAAUGGGCGGGCGAAGAGCCCGUUCUGAUGGUACCGGAAGAAGAAGCCCCGGCCAACUACGUGCCAGCAGCCGCGGUAAUACGUAGGGGGCGAGCGUUGUUCGGAAUUACUGGGCGUAAAGGGCGUGUAGGCGGUGCGGUAAGUC
rnacentral:rRNA from 1 species